rnacentral:rRNA from 1 species
CGCCCGCCGCGCGCGGCGGGCCUACGGGAGGCAGCAGUGGGGAAUAUUGCACAAUGGGCGCAAGCCUGAUGCAGCCAUGUCGCGUGUAUGAAGAAGGCCUUCGGGUUGUAAAGUACUUUCAGCGGGGAGGAAGGUGUUGAGGUUAAUAACCUCAGCAAUUGACGUUACCCGCAGAAGAAGCACCGGCUAACUCCGUGCCAGCAGCCGCGGUAAUA